UACGAAGGGGGCUAGCGUUGCUCGGAAUCACUGGGCGUAAAGCGCACGUAGGCGGACUAUUAAGUCGGUGGUGAAAUCCUGGAGCUCAACUCCAGAACUGCCUUCGAUACUGAGAGUCUCGAGUCCGGGAGAGGUGAGUGGAACUGCGAGUGUAGAGGUGAAAUUCGUAGAUAUUCGCAAGAACACCAGUGGCGAAGGCGGCUCACUGGCCCGGUACUGACGCUGAGGUGCGAAAGCGUGGGGAGCAAACAGG
rnacentral:rRNA from 1 species